UUAAGCAUAUCAAUAAGCGGAGGAAAAGAAACCAACCGGGAUUGCCUUAGUAACGGCGAGUGAAGCGGCAAAAGCUCAAAUUUGAAAUCUGGUACCUUCGGUGCCCGAGUUGUAAUUUGGAGAGGGCAACUUUGGGGCCGUUCCUUGUCUAUGUUCCUUGGAACAGGACGUCAUAGAGGGUGAGAAUCCCGUGUGGCGAGGAGUGCGGUUCUUUGUAAAGUGCCUUCGAAGAGUCGAGUUGUUUGGGAAUGCAGCUCUAAGUGGGUGGUAAAUUCCAUCUAAAGCUAAAUAUUGGCGAGAGACCGAUAGCGAACAAGUACAGUGAUGGAAAGAUGAAAAGAACUUUGAAAAGAGAGUGAAAAAGUACGUGAAAUUGUUGAAAGGGAAGGGCAUUUGAUCAGACAUGGUGUUUUGUGCCCUCUGCUCCUUGUGGGUAGGGGAAUCUCGCAUUUCACUGGGCCAGCAUCAGUUUUGGUGGCAGGAUAAAUCCAUAGGAAUGUAGCUUGCCUCGGUAAGUAUUAUAGCCUGUGGGAAUACUGCCAGCUGGGACUGAGGACUGCGANGUAAGUCAAGGAUGCUGGCAUAAUGGUUAUAUGCCGCC
rnacentral:rRNA from 1 species